rnacentral:rRNA from 1 species
UACGGGGGGAGCAAGCGUUGUUCGGAUUUACUGGGCGUAAAGGGCGCGUAGGCGGCCAGCACAAGUCAGUUGUGAAAUCUCCGGGCUUAACUCGGAAAGGUCAACUGAUACUGUGCGGCUAGAGUGCAGAAGGGGCAACUGGAAUUCUCGGUGUAGCGGUGAAAUGCGUAGAUAUCGAGAGGAACACCUGCGGCGAAGGCGGGUUGCUAGGCUGACACUGACGCUGAUGCGCGAAAGCCAGGGGAGCGAACGGG